UGCCAGGAUGAAGUGCCAAACUAUCUGAUGAAGAAAGAGCAAGACAGGAAAGGAACAACCUGCUCUGUUCUUUAGUUUGUUUGAUCCGGUGUGGUUGUAGUGAGCAGUGAUGAAAAUAAAAUUUGGGUCAACACCUCAACGGUUAGCUGAUGUUGCAUAUCUAAUGUGGUUUAUUUGUAAGUUUGACUUCCGAGGACGUUGAUGUGCUAAUACUUAAUCUGACCAUUUCUCCUACCAGUCUUACUAUGCCCUGAGGUACUGACAUUUGGUGGCAGAAGAGAAAAUUCACCUUGUGAUGAUCCCUUUUUUUUGGUGGCAGAUUCGUGAGAUGUGAUCUGUGAUGGACGAUUCGCGUACAUGAUUUGGAGAAGAGCAC
rnacentral:lncRNA from 1 species